AAUAAAAAUUUUUGAGUGUAGAAUCCACGAAAUCAUAUCGAACUCGAUAGGAAACCUUACUCAAUCCGAAGAUACCAUGAAAAUGGGAAAUACGGCAAAAGUAAAAU
rnacentral:rRNA from 1 species